CCAGUUUUUAUAACCUGUUUGGUUGGAUCGGAGCCAGGAUCUCUCGGUUGGACACCACCUACAGGCGUUCAAUCUCAGCUGUGGAACACCUAUCUGUCUCUGCAUAUCAAUCCCCCCCUAUGGUUAAGAGUGAGAAGAGACGGCUCCUUCUGUUUCUUCUGUCUCCAUUAGCUCCCUGGUGGAUCCGCCUGAUGUGAAACUUUUUUUCGCAGUCGAGCAGUGGUGCAGUGGAAUCAGACAAUGAAUGUUGCAGUAUUGCGGCCUUGCCCGCGCAGACUCAGUAAUGUAGUCGACGGUGCACAAAGCGCUGCUCCCUUUUUCAAACUGCUUAUCCAGGCUGAAUCCAGGAUGCUGGUGAAGACACUGUUUCACAGGACCUUGCAAUACAAAAGAUGAAAAUCUACAGGAACAAGACGAACACGUCGGAGUCCAGACGCCGGUAUCAUGUUGGACGUACUAAAAGUUCUGACUGCACCGAGGGACUUUCCAAGGGCUUGGUGUCUGCUGGUUGGGUUUGCUUAUGCAGUCAAUCUUGCACAUUCAAAGUGUCCCCUUUGACCCUUGGAGUAAAAAAAGGGAAUUGUUGUUACUGAACUCUCAAAUGUGGUUACUGUUUGUUCAAUGCCUG
ensembl:lncRNA